UACGAAGGGGGCUAGCGUUGCUCGGAAUCACUGGGCGUAAAGGGAGCGUAGGCGGGCUAUCAAGUCUGGGGUGAAAUCCCGCGGCUCAACCGUGGAACUGCCUCAGAUACUGACGGCCUCGAGGGAGAUAGGGGCAUGCGGAACUGUAGGUGGAACGGUGAAAUGCGUUGAUAUCUACAGGAACUCCGGUGGCGAAAGCGGCGUGCUGGAUCUCUUCUGACGCUGAGGCUCGAAAGCUAGGGGAGCAAACGGG
rnacentral:rRNA from 1 species